rnacentral:rRNA from 1 species
GACGAACGCUGGCGGCAGGCUUAACACAUGCAAGUCGAACGAACUCUUCGGAGUGAGUGGCAGACGGGUGCGUAACACGUGGGAACCUACCCUAAGGUACGGAAUAACGCCGAGAAAUUGGUGCUAAUACCGUAUAUGUCUUCGGAUGAAAGAUUUAUCGCCUUAGGAUGGGCCCGCGGCUGAUUAGUUUGUUGGUGGGGUAAUGGCCUACCAAGACUACGAUCAGUAGCUGGUCUGAGAGGAUGAUCAGCCACACUGGAACUGAGACACGGUCCAGACUCCUACGGGAGGCAGCAGUGAGGAAUAUUGGACAAUGGGGGAAACCCUGAUCCAGCCAUGCCGCGUGAGUGAUGAAGGCCUUAGGGUUGUAAAACUCUUUCGCUAGGGAAGAUAAUGACGGUACCUAGUAAAGAAGCCCCGGCUAAUUUCG